rnacentral:lncRNA from 1 species
UUAAGGAAGCGAUUGAGAUGGUGAAAGCUGAACCACGAUCGCAAAUCACGCUAAAACACCCAAAAAUCCGAAACCCUACCCAAUCGUAUAACGAAGCGAUUGAGAUGGAGAAAGCGCGAGAGAGAAAUCACCGUGAAAAACACGGCCGGGAGGAGGGAGAAAAAUAAGCUGCUUCCUUCUCUACAGUUAGGAAAUUUCCUUGGCCAAACAAACAGAAAAUAAGGGUAAAAUAGUCAUAUCCUAUGU